GAUGCAGCGACGCCGCGUGAGGGAUGGAGGCCUUCGGGUUGUAAACCUCUUUCGCCAGUGAAGCAGGCCUGUCCCUUUUGUGGGUGGGUUGACGGUAGCUGGAUAAGAAGCGCCGGCUAACUACGUGCCAGCAGCCGCGGUAAUACGUAGGGCGCGAGCGUUGUCCGGAAUUAUUGGGCGUAAAGAGCUCGUAGGCGGCUGGUCGCGUCUGUCGUGAAAUCCUCUGGCUUAACUGGGGGCUUGCGGUGGGUACGGGCCGGCUUGAGUGCGGUAGGGGAGACUGGAACUCCUGGUGUAGCGGUGGAAUGCGCAGAUAUCAGGAAGAACACCGGUGGCGAAGGCGGGUCUCUGGGCCGUUACUGACGCUGAGGAGCGAAAGCGUGGGGAGCGAACAGGAUUAGAUACCCUGGUAGUCCACGCCGUAAACGUUGGGCACUAGGUGUGGGGGGCCUUUUCCGGGUCUUCCGCGCCGUAGCUAACGCAUUAAGUGCCCCGCCUGGGGAGUACGGCCGCAAGGCUAAAACUCAAAGGAAUUGACGGGGGCCCGCACAAGCGGCGGAGCAUGCGGAUUAAUUCGAUGCAACGCGAAGAACCUUACCAAGGCUUGACAUGUGCCGGUCGGCUCCGGAGACGGG
rnacentral:rRNA from 1 species